rnacentral:rRNA from 2 species
ACUCCUACGGGAGGCAGCAGUGGGGAAUUUUGGACAAUGGGGGAAACCCUGAUCCAGCCAUCCCGCGUGUGCGAUGAAGGCCUUCGGGUUGUAAAGCACUUUUGGCAGGAAAGAAACGUCAUGGGUUAAUACCCCGUGAAACUGACGGUACCUGCAGAAUAAGCACCGGCUAACUACGUGCCAGCAGCCGCGGUAAU